CAUUGGUGGUAUCAGAGGAGACAAAACCAAUCAACUGAGGAAAACUGAUGGAAAAUGUAAACCUGUAAUGAAAUGAGUAAAACAGUCUACGGCCAUACCACCCUGAACGCACCUGAUCUCGUCUGAAAUGAGAAAAAAGUUGGAGGAAAUAUUUUAUGGAUUCACAGCAUUUCUAAACUCAGCGGUUGGUCUUACAAGUUUUUUACUUGUUGCUGAGGAGACAUCAACACCAAAGAAGGAUCAGGGAAGGAAAAGAAGAAUAACUGGUUAGAAAUGGAAGUUUCCCAGAGAAAAGCUUAUAAAGAGGGAGAAGAUGAGAUUAUGGAGAUGAGGAAUGUUGUAUUUCAUUUUUACUUGCGACUUCAGACUGAUGCUUCAGUAACUGGGCUAACAAAUAUAGGUAGGACCCAGAGCCAUGACAUACUGCAGAUGGACAGAGUCCCAGACUCAUCUGUGUAAACAAGUCAAUAAUGAUGAUGUUUCAAAAAAGUACAACAGUCACUGAUACUAGAAGAAUUCAGAGCAAGCUCUUUUAUCAUUGCAUGAAAUGUUAAAGCAUAUUAAUUUUACCCAAACUACUUAAUCCAUUGACUGAUUUUUAUGG